rnacentral:rRNA from 1 species
GACGAACGCUGGCGGCGUGCCUAAUACAUGCAAGUAGAACGCACAGUUUAUACCGUAGCUUGCUACACCAUAGACUGUGAGUUGCGAACGGGUGAGUAACGCGUAGGUAACCUGCCUGGUAGCGGGGGAUAACUAUUGGAAACGAUAGCUAAUACCGCAUAAUAUUAAUUAUUGCAUGAUAAUUAAUUGAAAGGUGCAAUUGCACCACUACCAGAUGGACCUGCGUUGUAUUAGCUAGUAGGUGAGGUAACGGCUCACCUAGGCGACGAUACAUAGCCGACCUGGGGGGGUGGUCGGCCACACUGGGACUGGGACACGGCCCAGACUCCUACGGGGGGCAGCAGUAGGGAAUCUUCGGCAAUGGACGGAAGUCUGACCGAGCAACGCCGCGUGAGUGGAGAAGGUUUUCGGAUCGUAAAGCUCUGUUGUAAGGGAAGAACGGGUGUGAGAGUGGAAAGUUCACACUGUGACGGUAUCUUACCAGAAAGGGACGGCUAACUACGUG